rnacentral:rRNA from 1 species
UGCUGCAUGGCUGUCGUCAGCUCGUGUCGUGAGAUGUUGGUUAAGUCCCGCAACGAGCGCAACCCUUGUCCUUAGUUGCCACCAUUCAGUUGGGCACUCUAAGGAGACUGCCGGUGUUAAACCGGAGGAAGGUGGGGAUGACGUCAAGUCCUCAUGGCCCUUAUAUCCAGGGCUACACACGUGCUACAAUGGCCGGUACAAAGGGUCGCAAUACCGCGAGGUGGAGCUAAUCCCAAAAAGCCGGUCUCAGUUCAGAUUGCAGGCUGCAACCCGCCUGCAUGAAGAUGGAGUUGCUAGUAACCGCAGGUCAGCUAUACUGCGGUGAAUACGUUCCCGGGGCUU